GUUCUGACCAAUCAGCGUUCGGCGGUAAGUUUCAAAACACAAAUGGCGACGGAGAGAACUGAGGCGCUUCUGGAAAGGACUGACCCUUCCUUCCUGAAAUCAUGCAACACCACCGAAGUGCAGGAAACAGGAGAGGGAGAAAUUAUGGCUCCAUAUCUGAUGGACUGCAGGCGAAAACAGAAGCAUAUAUUCAGACAGCUGUGUGUGGUGGAUGACAUGAUCCAGCUGCUGGCAGGUCUAGAGUCAGCGAAUCAGCUGCUGAAUGAGCCAUGUCCCCAAAACCCAGGUAGUGAAGCUCGUUCUGCAUGGAAGGCAUUAAAAGCUGAAUAUCAAGAGAGAGUUCAGGAGGUGGAGGGGCUGAUCAACACUCUCCGGGUUCGCAUGGAAGAGCUUCAGGGUAAACGGAAGACACUGGAGACUCUACUGUCCAUUCUGCAGCUAAAGAAAGAGGAGUGCAAAGAGAAGGAGAGAAUCACAGCUAAACGAAAUCAGAGG
rnacentral:lncRNA from 1 species